CUUAUAAAGCUAAGUUACUUUUCCAAUUCCAAUCACAAUAAUAUGAAUACAUUUAAACAACAAAAGUUCUAUUUUCAAUUUAGAAAAUCAAAAAGUCUAAGUUACUAAAAGUAACUUCCGGUUUCACAAAUCUUCAUAACUGGAACACGGUAUAAAAUGUUAAUGUAAAUAAACACAUGUGGACAUCAACGGAUGUAAACAAUGGCACGUGCAUCUUCGGACAUCUGCGCAUUGUUGGUAAACAAACAUCACGUGGUCUCGUCUGUCGUCUGCUUCGGUGGUCACACACACACACUGGUACCCUAAUUCGACUGUGCCAUCAAUCCAUUAAACUACGUUGGGCGCCAUUUUGUAACAGGGUCGAUUCUUGGGUCAAGUAAUAAUAAACUCUGUUUAGGGUUCGGAUGAUUU
rnacentral:lncRNA from 1 species